UAAAGAUACGUCUUUACAAAGCUACAUUUAAAAAAAAAACAAUAUCGAAUAGAGCAUGGUGAAUAAUCAAUCAAUAGCAUUUCAAAACAUUUAUAUUUUCAUUAAUGCACGUUAUAAUAUCUUUCAAAAGAACAGAACAUUCCAAUAGUAAUCAAGUCCUAAAUUAUUCAGGAAAAAAGCAUCAGCAUUCAUUUGCAUGAAAUAUUGUUUGAAAUUAAGAAAUAUAUUAUUUGGCAGAGAAGUGUGUAUAAUUUCUUUUUAUAGGGAUUAAUGAUUUUGAAUUAACCAUAGCCAAUGAAGAUCGUUCAGGGAAAACACAAAAUGAAUCAACACAAAGUAAGUAAACUUUCGGAUCCGCCCUAAAACCCACAUUUUGGAAAACAACUUCUAACGCAAGUUACCUUCUAUAAUCUUGUUUUAUACUUUGUAACUGUAUAUAUCAUGAUCAAUAGUGUAUGUGUAUUUUACAUAUAAAAUCAUUGACAAAAUGAAUUGUUUGACGAAAUUUAAUUCCACGUGCACGAUUUAACAACACUUAUCUAAUUGAUUUCAAUAGAACAAUAUAUCUUAUCCAAUUGGGAGUUUUUAAUUGCGCUGACUGUCUAGAGACUCUAAAAAAAACCCGGUCCAUCCAGCAGGAACGUUUUCUCUCGUGACCCGAUUUCUGUCUCGUGAAGUGACAUAUGGAGGUUGGUGUGAAGCUUCAUACGGACGCAGAAGGAAACAACGGUAUGUUCAUCGUUUAAAUAGGACUCGUGGUUUUAGACAUGUACUAUGACGUAAACCAUAUUUGGGCGAAGAGCAGGUUGGUUGCUUUUUUACCACCAUGAUGUAUAUGAAAAAUAAAAACGAACUGACAGAGAGUUUUUGUUCAAUUGGAAAAAUUCUGUUGUAGGAUUUUACUGGUGCCCUGACAUGAACAUAAUUAUUCGAGUCUCGAAACCAGUCUCGCUCAUGCCGAGACAUGACCGUGAUGGCUGUAUUCUGGAAAUCACAGAUUGUCUUCACCAUCAACGUAAUAUGCCUCCAUUUCUCUGCUUUCAAUGUUAGAGUCAUGGUAUGAAUUCCCAAUCUUGCAUGAACGAAUUGAGCGGUAUGUUUAAUGUUGUUGUUCUCUUAAUUGAUGAAAUUCUUGUCUCUUUACAAAAUAAACCCUGUAUAAAUAUUCUGAUGAAAGGUGCCAAUAACGGACAUUAAUAAAUCUUAUAACUCUCUGAAGGAAUACAAAAUAGAAAGUUGGGCAAACACGCACCCUACAUAUACAAGAUGUAGAAUCAUGUGCCCAGGAAGAGUAAGCAAAAUACAUCGUGUAAAUGCCUGACCUUUGAAGCGGUGAUUGUAUUCAUACGCUAAAAAGCCUGAUCACGUGACUGAUCUCAUGUUAUACAUAUAUUAUGUAAGAACAUGAAUGCCAACUUCGUAAAUUUAAUCAUAUAAGGAAAUGCAUUAGCAAAUGUAAAUAUAUUGGCAAAUAUAUAGAAUUAAUAUUCAUGUACCUGGCUAUCAAUUAUGUAUGCAUAUAUAUACACACCAGGCGUAGAGAACAUUUAACAACAUACAAUGACAUAAUGCAAUGAUAUAUAUAGUGAUCUUUUAUUUAAAAAAAAUAGUGAUAAACUGUUUUUGAUAUACUUAGCUAACGUCAUCCUUAUAAAUACUAAACUGCAGACAUCUUAUCAAGAUCUUAGAUGUAUGAAAGAGCUACAGUUCAAAUCAUAAAAACAUGUUGCUCCUACAUCAACUGUUUUCUAAUAGAUUAACAUGCUUCAGUCCAGACCUCCCAGACGUACAUAAACUAUAAUUAUCUAUAUCCAUAUGCGCAUUGUGUAGAACUGCAAAUCAUUGAUGAGGAAAUGCCUAUCAUUUUAUAUAUCUAAACUAAAAGUAUUGUGAUGUAAAUCGUAUUUGAUAGCAUUCACGAAGCCAUUGAGACAAUGUUUAAAUAUAUAAGGAAAACGCUAAUAACUCAAGAGGUUUUAUUAAAUACCUUCCCGCUGCAUAUUACAGCUAUAUAAUUGCCUUGAAGUAGAAAUGUCGAUAUAUUACAUGCUUUCAGUAAGACAAAUAAAAAAAAAAGAACUACAAGUUUAAAAAGCAGUAGCUAAUUACUUCGUUACUAGCUUGAAAAUACGGAUGUGUAUUUAAUUGCUAGGAUAAAAUUUAGAAAUUCAAAUCAAAAUUAGGGAUUAUCUCCCUCAUGCAUAGCUCUUAUCCUUGGACGAAUUUGGCUCCAGUUUUUGGUACUCUAGUAUUCCGUUAAGCUCUUCCAAGACUAUUCUCAUUUCAAACUUCCACAAUUUUGGCGUGAGCAUCACUAAAGAGACAUUAUUUAUCGAAAUGCGCAUUUGGUGCAUCAAAAUUGGUACCGUAUAAGUUUUAUAGGAGGAGUUGUCAAUUAAAAUAUUUUCCCGAGAAACUAUUACGUCCAAGGACCAAAAUAUGCACAGCUCCACAUUGUGAUCUUUCUUUGUACCGAGUUUCAUCAAAAUCCCUCAAAGGGUUUAGAAGGAGUUGCGAAGACAAAGUUAAGGGGAUAUAAGGAAAGACAGACGGACGGACAGACAGACGGAGGGACAGACAGACGGACAGACAUACAGACGGACGACAUCGGUAUAGCAUAAUACGCCCGAAUUGUAAUGCGGACGUAUAAAAAUAAUACCUUUAGCUACACUGGAAUAACCCUGAAUACAUUGAUAUGAUAUCUGAACAAUAUAUUUAAAUAUUAUUAAAAUGUUGGUGAAUUUUCCAAUCAACAAUAAGUACAAAAUAACUAUUUAAUUAUCAGACAAAAACGAAUUAUAUUCUUAUAAAUUUUGUAAUUAAACAAUCCCCCCCCCCUCCUUUAGAAAUGCAAGCUUUUCAUACAUUUGAACCUUUUACAACUUUUUCUGUACUUAAGUUCCCAACGAAUUUUAUUUUACAGAUACAAUAUAUAGAUGCCCCCUAACAAGAAUAUAUACUUCAUUUAACCAAGGACGGUUGUAUAUUCUAACUAUAUAGCGAUAAUCUUCUGUUAUUUUUGAAAAUCAGUAAGUGUUCAAAUCCAUGCUUUUAUCUGUUGUCAUGGAAACAAUUACCUUGGAAAAAUUGAGUGCUUGUUAUUUUUUUAAGUGGGUAAAACCAUUUUAAAACAAAAUUAAGUAGACAAAAUAACAUAUAGCUUACAGGAAAUAUAUCCCCGUAUAUAGCUAAAAAUCAUUGUUUUCCACAAGAAUUUUGCACCUGUUGCUAAGGAAAUAAAAGGCCUUGGAGAUAACACCCGUAUUGCGUUUAAAGUCAUUUAUCUAAUCUCUGCUUGUUACAUAUAACACCUCAAUUGAUACUGAAAGCAUAACAUUCUUGUAAAAAGCUUUGAAAACUUUUAUACAAAUAUUCAACUCAGCUUAAUCAAUUCAUGGUGCAGAAUUUUAAAAUGAAAAUGGUUUUACCGCUUGUCAACAAAUUCCUAAAGUUUUGAUUUUAAUCAAAAUCAAUUUUAUUUUUCCAAUUUAUGAUCGGUGAUUGAUACCGACAUGGAACGAACGCGUGAGUGACGUGUAACAGUCUUCCUUUCGGAUCAUGUCAACGAUUUUUUUAAAGAAUUUAUGGGAAUAAAAAUGAAGUAAUCCUGAAACAAAAGGUGAAAGUGGUAGAUUUAUUAAUUCAUUGAUUAAUAUUAAUAAUUGAGAGAGAGAGAGAGAGAGAGAGAGAGAGAGAGAGAGAGAGAGAGAGAGAGAGAGAGAGAGAGAGAGAGGUUAUUGUGCAAUAGGUGAGAUGCCUGUUAUGCAGUACCCAACUGGUUCUUAAGUAUAAACCUCUUUCCCUAGUUUUAGUAUUGACCUAAACAUGUUGAUUUACAUGGAAAACACAUAUGCAUAUCUACUCACAAAAACAAUGAUAAAAAGGAAUCUACAAGACUUGGUUUUUCCCCUGGAAUCACCCCAAAAGUUACAAUCUCCGCACGGCAUGUAACAAUUUAUGACAUACUGUUGCCAUACGCAGCAACGUAUGUGACAAUUUGUAACAAAGCGUGGUACGAAUGGCCACGCUAUGUAACAAAAAAUAAUACCGUGUCGUAUCAACACAAGAGCUUAUUCUGCGUAUGGUCUCUUUUUCAAAUCGAAGCAGGCACCUAAUCCCACCUCUGGUAUAUCCAGGGAUUCGUAUUUGCCCAACUCUCUAUUUUGUAUUGCUUGUUGGAGUUCUGAAAUGUGUUCAGUGUUCGUUAUCUUCACCUUUCACGUAGUUCUAAAACUUAGAAAUGAGGAUAACCGCAUAUUUUCAAUAAGCAAACAAUUCAUGGCAAAAACUAUAUCGUAUUUAACAUUUGACGUGACUACUAUCUUCGUUGAAGGUUGAUGUGUUGUUUAUACUGUAUACGAGGCAGUUUGGGACAAUAAAUGUUUGUAACGAACAAAACUUGAAUAUAUCGAGAUUCAGGACAAAGAGUUUUCCUGAAAUAUAUUUUCACUUUUGAUUUGAUGAUAGUAUUUAGGAAUGUUUGUCGAUCGACAAAUGAAGACAUUGAAAUAAAUCGCCAUAUAUUUCAAAUAUUGGAAUAAUUGGAAUAAUUCGUAUGAUUGCAGCAUUUCCACAUCAAUACUGAAAAGGAAUAACGCUGAUUCCACGAUUUCAUAACUGAAUCAGGUUUCUUAAAAUUUUGGUAAUUUUAUGUUACUUUGGUUUCAAAAGUCCCGUUUAGAGUCAGCAUAUCGUAAAAUCAAUAGUUCUUAAAAUGAUAUAACUUGUAAAUACAACCUAGCUUGACCUCAAAUGAUGUUUGGCGUGUUUCAUAACAAUUGCUGUACUGUGCAGUUAUUUAGGGAGAUAUUUAAUUUGGCCAAAGUGAAGACCCUUGGCAAUUCUGGAAGUAUGUAUAUGGUAUUUAGCUAUGAUAUUGAUGUUGCAUAUAUAGGGACGAGAAUUUGAAGGACAAAAGAACAUCGAUAUAUUUCGAUUGACACAAUCACUAGUAUAUGCUAUCAAUAUCUUUUAAUUUGUUUUCAUGUCUCUUUUUGUGGGUUUUGUCACCUUAUAUCACGUUUUCUGCCUCAUAAUUAAGUAGUGGUUAUCUGUUUUCCAUUCAUUUCCCACAAUACUACGUAGUACAUGGUGUAUCUAUUUAUACUCUCAUAACUUCAGAAUAUGUGUAUAAAUCUAUAGAACACAGUAACUAUUGUCAACUUCAUUCUUGACAACUUUGGUUUCAAGUACUCAUGCGUAAUAAUUCAAGAAUAUACCUCGAUUUCUCCAAAUUUCAAGACGCCUUUGCCUGUAAUAAACACUUCUUUCACGAAUACUUCAAGCAAACGACAAACUUCACAGGGUUAGUUUUAGUCACGAAACAUUAAUCCAUGUAGUCAAACUAUGGAAAUGUGAUUCAUUUUAAACAUAGAAUAAAAACAGUUCUGUUAUAUUUCUAUUUUACUCUAAUUAUAGAGGUAUUUGCAUGCAUCUCCUAAUAUGGAUUGAUCAAGUAACUGCCAUGACGCAACAGCUCAUUAUGACUUCAUUUCCAUACCAAUUUGAUUUGUAACUUUAACUAUACUCUGCACUGUAUUUCUAAUUAUUGAUGUACGAUAUAUUUUAUUUUAUAUCAAUUUUGAUUGAUAUCGAUUAAAUGUUAGAAGAUGUUAAUGUUUUUGUUACGUUCUGAACACGUGUAUUAUGCCAUCUAAACUGCAUUAUAUUGCACUAACAUUAUAGUGAUUCUUGACUAAUGGCAUAUUUGAUUUUUACAUCUUUGUUCGUAAUAAGUUAAAAACAUGGAAGUCGAUGUAGUAUUUUGAUACACGUUUAAACAAUUUCAGCCCUGGUGGGAACGUAUGCUGUAGUGGAUAUAUUUGGAAUGAAGCACAAAAUACCUGUACACGUCUGUAUAUAUUAACAUCCAAGUUAAUACAUACUAGCAAGUUUAUAAUGGAUAUUACAUUCAAUAUAUUUGUAUACUACUCAUAGAUAACACGUUUUUAAAUGAAAUCAGAUUCAAACAUCAUGGAUACCGAUGGGAUGCUUGAAGGUAAAUUGCAUUGUCGAUUACCGUUUUUGAUUAUUUUCUUUGGUUUCCGUCGGUUGCAUGGAUGGAUUUUACGGUACGAACUGUACUAUUCCAUGUCCAUACCCAACAUUCGACUGUUGAUUACCGUUUGAUUAUUUUCUCUGGUUUCUUUAGAUUGCACGGAUGGAUUUUAUGGUAGGAACCAUGUCCAUACCCAACGUUCGGCUGGAAGUGUCAAUUAGAAUACAUCUGCAGUAGCGAAGACUGUCACCACACGUAUGGGUGCAGGAUAACUCCAUCAGAAUGUGCGCCUGGAAAGUACGACAAAUACUGUGAGUUAUCUUGUCGUUACCCAAACUAUGGAAAUGAUUGUCAGUUGGUGUGCCAUUGUGAUGAAGUGGUCUGCGAUGCUAUACGUGGAUGUACAGGUUUAUUGUAUAGUGAUUCUCAUAGUGUGUUUAACAUGUGUUUAACAUAGAACUUCUAUCAUAUAUGGAGCAUUUUUCAUUAAAUGUCUUGUAAAUGAUUAAAAUAAACUAGAUUUCCUUU